AACACCCCGGACGACCUUGCCCAGGUGUGGCUGUGUGGGGUGUUAUGUGAGUACGCUGGGAUCAGCAAUGCACUGUUUAACACCCCGGACGACCUUGCCCAGGUGUGGCUGUGUGGGGUGUUAUGUGAGUACGCUGGGAUCAGCAAUGCACUGUUUAACACCCCGGACAACCAUGCCCAGGUGUGGCUGUGUGGGGUGUUAUGUGAGUACACUGGGAUCAGCAAUGCACUGUUCAACACCCCGGACGACCUUGCCCAGGUGUGGCUGUGUGGGGUGUUAUGUGAGUACGCUGGGAUCAGCAAUGCACUGUUUAACACCCCGGACGACCUUGCCCAGGUGUGGCUGUGUGGGGUGUUAUGUGAG